AAGAAGAUGUGAGUGAGGUUUGUCCUCGCGCUUGCUGUAUCUUGUCGACACGUUAAAGGUGAAACCAUUAACAUAACAUAACCAUUUCAAGAGGAGAAUAACUAGCCUUUUACACUCAAACUGCCGCGGAUCUCUCAACGUUUGUUGGUCAUGGCAUCUGUGGAUGAUAUUGAGGACCUGGUGACCUCCCAUGACCUCACUCCUCACAAGCGUCAGUGUGCCUGGAGCAACAUUAUGCCUAGUCCAUGCAAACACAAGCUCCAGCUCGCAGCAGAAGAGCUUCAGACCGACAGUGUGAAUCCUGGCACACAGAAGAUCUGGGUGAGAACCUGGGGCUCUUCUCUCAACAGCUCUGAUGGAGAAUACAUGGCCGGAUCACAGGUAUGGUAUCUUAGUUCCAGUAUGGUGACAGCACUAGUAUCACAGCAUGCUGUGAGUGUGUUAGCAUCGCUUGUGUGAUUCUGGGAUCUGAAGGAGCGCUUGGACUGAAACAGACUUGACUUAGAUGAAUUAUCAGAACACUACGGAUCACAUUAGACCCUGGCAAGGUCAAAGUUCAGGGCACACGGAUAUUGAAUCAUGGCUCUGUGAGCGUCGACCGUUUCAGCAGUCGUCAUAAAGCCUGGUCAGAUCAGCUAUAAAAACACUUGACCUCAGGUUUUGGUCUAUUGUUCUGAUAUGCAUUUCCAGCUGUUGCACCUUUUAUUGAGGGCUGUGUGCCUUUCCAAACCAUUCAUCUGAACUCAGUGUAGUAACAUGCUCCUGAGCUAACUGAGUUUUCUCAAUACGUUUUCAGUUAUCACAUUUAUUUUUUUGCUUUAUUAUGUUGUAUGGAAUAUAGUUUAUGUGGAAGAAAGAGUAAUGUAAAGCAGUGUACAAGAAAGCAACAUAAAAUAUGAAAAAAUUGAAUAGUUAAAACGAAUACUUUAGCAAUGCACUGUAUGUUUACACACACACACACACAACAUAAUUUUAUCAAGAUAACUAUCAAGAUGUCAAUCUAUAACCAGCAGAAUUAUGUGAUUCAGUUUAUUUCACACACACAACAAUACACAUACAGACUUUAUUUAUACACAGACUGCAUUUAUUUACAAAGGAUGUACAUCAUCCUCUUCUCUUCUCUUCUCUUCUCUGAAUCAUAGGUUUAUCCGAACUAUAACCCCAAACCUGCAGGGGUCAGUAUUGACCAGUGAAUCUCCUCUGAGAUGGUCAGGCUUUGUCUUAAAGGCAGCAGUUUGAUGGAAGUUUAACCCCAAUCAUGAACAUAAUACUUCCUUUAAAUGAUUAAGUGCUUCUUGUUUUAUGGAAUUGGGAGGGAUUAGCAGGAUUUUUUCCACGC